UACGUAGGGUCCGAGCGUUGUCCGGAAUUACUGGGCGUAAAGAGCUCGUAGGUGGUUUUGUCGCGUUGUUCGUGAAAACUCACAGCUCAACUGUGGGCGUGCGGGCGAUACGGGCAGACUUGAGUACUGCAGGGGAGACUGGAAUUCCUGGUGUAGCGGUGAAAUGCGCAGAUAUCAGGAGGAACACCGGUGGCGAAGGCGGGUCUCUGGGCCGUAACUGACGCUGGAGGAGCG
rnacentral:rRNA from 1 species